rnacentral:lncRNA from 1 species
AAAAAUAAGAGAAAACAAACGACGCAACGUUAAAUUGUAACACACACAGAAACGAACUAUAAUAUAACAAUGGUCAUAUUCCUGACUUGGUACAGGACAUUUUUAAAGGAAAAAAUGGUGGGUUGAACCUGGUUUUGUGGCAUGCCAAACCUCGCACUUUAAUGGCAAUGUUAAAUAUAACAUAGAAAUGACAACAUAAUAUUACAGGACUA